rnacentral:rRNA from 1 species
AGAACGAACGUUGGCGGCCUGGAUUAGGCAUGCAAGUUGAGCGUACCCAGCAAUGGGGAGCAGCGUAAGGGGCAGUAAGGCAUGGGUAUCUACCCGGGGAUCGGGCAUAGCCUGUAGAGAUACAGGGUAAUUCCCGAUGAUGUCGCAAGACCAAAGCUCCGGCGUCCCUGGAGGAGCCCAUGUGAUAUUAGCUAGUUGGUGGGUAACGGCCCACCAAGGCGAAGAUGUCUAGCGGGUGUGAGAGCACGACCCGCGCCACUGGCACUGAGACACUGGCCAGACACCUACGGUGGCUGCAGUCGAGGAUCUUCGGCAAUGGGGGCAACCCUGACCGAGCGAGGCCGCGUGUGCGAUGAAGGUCCUUCGGUUGUAAAGCACUGGUCGAGGGGGUAGAAAAGCCCGAAAGGUGUGAUCUAUCCCUGGAGGAAGCACGGACUAAGUUCGUGCCAGCAGCCGAC